CAUUUAAUAUGUACUUUCAUGGUGCAUAAUUGGAUUUUUCCAAAAGUGCUCAAUGCAAAAGGUCAAAUUUCAACUGGACUGUUAAAUGAACCAGGGGCAAAAUCGUCCAACUUGUGAAAUAAUUGGAAUUUUUGAGUGGGGAUUUUUGCAACACCUCACAAAUGGCAUUUGAAAUUUGUUGGAAUAUUCACAACAUGCCUAGGCCUUGCGGUUUGAGAAUUGGAUUUGAAAAUGAAUUGGAAAAAUGGACACAUAAGCCAUCACAUGGUGAAAUUGGAAAAUAUUGGGAAUUUGAAAAUAAGGCCUAUACCAACAGCUCCCAAAUGAUAUUUGUGGUUUGCUCAAAGUGUUAAUUUGCUGUUAAGAAGCUUCUAAUGAUCAAGAGCCUAAAAAUCCAAAAUUGCACAUAUAAGCUUCAUUCACUAAUCACAAUUUUUUUGCUUAAUUAUGAUUAUGCUUGGAUUAGUGUUUUCAUAUAUAAGCUAAAUCCAUAACAGAAAGAAAGGGUUAAUUUUUUUUUCACAAAUCACAAUUCAGAAAUCAAAAAGCAAAAGCUCAAAUUCUCUCAUUUUUCCAUUUUUUUCACCAAGAAUCUUUUGCAUUAAUUCACCAAUUCCUAUCAAUCUUUGUGGAUUUUCUUGGUUGAUUUAUGAUCUGCAGGUGAAAUUGAGCUACUGUUGAGCAAGAUAGAGGCGAAAUUGGAGCCAAUUCGUGACUGUUACACAGUAUUUUCUUCCAUGGCAGUUAACAAGACCGAUGGAUUCGAGCGUGCUGGAGCUCAACAAACCGUUCCAUGCGCCUCCUGAACCGAUAUCCUGCAUCUGUUCUUGCAAUUCGAAGCUCGACACGCACCAAAUCCGUCACUGUCAUCAAGAAGGUUAAGGAGUUAAUGAUUAAGGAAUUUGCUCCACAUUAUGGAUUGUGUUACUUGACACAUAUGACUAAUGUAUUUGUUUUGUAGGAUGUUUGGUUCAUGUGAGCCUUGUGCUAUGCACAUCAUCAUUUGUAUAAUUGUACUUUGUUAAUUGAUUCUUAUGUUGUUAUCUGUUUAUGAAUGGGAUGCUGAUUUUAUUGGAUUGUUUCCAGGUACCCUUUAGUCGCUCAGUUCUCUUAAGAACUUGCUUUGCUUUGCUUAAAUAGCAACUUGCAUUGAGACGCACCUCGCCGGUAUUAUACCAGAGCCGAUUCUUCGAGAUUCAUGGAUCAUCUUGAGCAAGAGAAUUGUGAACUCGAGGAGGAUUUUGCCAGACUAAGUACUGUUGAUGGAUUUAUUCCUGGUUAACCGAUCCCGGGCUGGCGUUGGCUAUUGUUCUGGGGCAUAUCAUGAUCAGCCUGAAGAGGAAGCUGCUGCUAUCAUUGAAGAGGAUGCAGAGGAUAUGAGCAAUCUUGUUAUUCCUGGUGGUGUCUGCCACAAUUGGGUCGCUGUGGAUGUUCCUACAGUUAUCCAUAGAUCAGAGUAAAUAUGCUCACUUUGUUUAAAACCCUUCUCCCAUGCCAAAAGGAGAAGUGAUGACAUUGUUGGCAGCAUUUAAUACAAUGAUGUUUUCAUUCAA